UACGCUCAAUGGAUAUCGCAACGGAAAAUAUGUCGUCGUCAUAUGCUUGUUGGUCAUCGGCUAAAACGAAAAAUCCAAAACAAUAAUUGAUGCCACAUAUAUAUCAUUAAUUAAAUCAAUCCAUCAUUCAUGCACACCAUUCAUGAUAAAACAAAAUAUUCGACACAUGAAAAUACUCUUGUCCAUUCAUCCACAUGACUCCCAUCCC
rnacentral:lncRNA from 1 species